GCCUGCCAUUAGCAGCUGAGAACUGAAACUGAAGCUCCACCGAAAUGGCAUUCCCCAAUUUAUCCACCAUUCUAAUUCCUCAUCUCCUUCUGAUCAUCAUCUUCAUCAUCUCCACAGCUUCCCCACCAUCACUUGCAUCCCGCUUCUCCAAUUUCCCCUUGUCCAAACGAGCCCCGCGCUUCCUUGGCAAAUUCUCACACCAGAUCAAACCCCUGCAGCAGCGAGAGUACCGAUACGAGACCCGAUACUUUUAUCAGAGACUCGACCACUUCAGCUUCUCGG
rnacentral:misc_RNA from 1 species